rnacentral:rRNA from 1 species
CUACGGGGGGCACCAGUGGGGAAUAUUGGACAAUGGGCGAAAGCCUGAUCCAGCCAUGCCGCGUGUGUGAAGAAGGUCUUCGGAUUGUAAAGCACUUUAAGUUGGGAGGAAGGGUUGUAGAUUAAUACUCUGCAAUUUUGACGUUACCGACAGAAUAAGCACCGGCUAACUACUGUGCCAGCAGCCGCGGUAAUACAGAGGGUGCAAGCGUUAAUCGGAAUUACUGGGCGUAAAGCGCGCGUAGGUGGUUUGUUAAGUUGGAUGUGAAAUCCCCGGGCUCAACCUGGGAACUGCAUUCAAAACUGACUGACUAGAGUAUGGUAGAGGGUGGUGGAAUUUCCUGUGUAGCGGUGAAAUGCGUAGAUAUAGGAAGGAACACCAGUGGCGAAGGCGACCACCUGGACUAAUACUGACACUGAGGUGCGAAAGCGUGGGGAGCAAACAGGAUUAGAUACCCCCGUAGUC